UACGUAGGCAGCAAGCGUUGUUCGGAAUUACUGGGCGUAAAGAGUGUGUAGGCGGUGCUCCAAGUCUGGUGUGAAAUCUCCCGGCUUAACUGGGAGGGUGCAUUAGAAACUGGAAUGCUAGAGGAUGGGAGAGGUAAGCGGAAUUCCUGGUGUAGCGGUGAAAUGCGUAGAUAUCAGGAGGAACACCGGUGGUGUAGACGGCUUUCUGGACCGUAACUGACGCUGAGACACGAAAGCGUGGGUAGCAAACAGG
rnacentral:rRNA from 1 species